UACGUAGGUGGCGAGCGUUGUCCGGAAUUACUGGGUGUAAAGGGCGUGCAGGCGGUUAUGUAAGUCGGAUGUGAAAUUCCACGGCUCAACUGUGGGACUGCAUCUGAAACUAUGUAUCUUGAGUGCUGGAGAGGGAAGCGGAAUUCCCAGUGUAGCGGUGAAAUGCGUAGAUAUUGGGAGGAACACCAGUGGCGAAGGCGGCUUUCUGGACAGCAACUGACGCUGAGGCGCGAAAGCGUGGGGAGCAAACAGG
rnacentral:rRNA from 1 species